AUUGACAUUGGUAAAAUUUAUUUCUGGGUCCGUCACUGCUAACCUUAUCCUGUACCUGAAAACACUCCUUAUCUUGUCCAUAUCACAUUGUAUGUUAAC
rnacentral:sRNA from 1 species